UCCAAUUAUUUUCUAACUUUUCACAUUAGUUUAUCGACCGAAGAACGUGACUCACACGGACGGACAUUAGCUUAUUAGCGCCAUUUCUCUAGUUUGAAAUGAAAAAAAAAGCGGCAUGUCUCUAUCUGAAAAUGUGGCGGAGUUAUGACGACGUGGUAUUUGGGAGCGUAUAUGCUCCUACUGGCUUCAGAGGUACGUUUAUUGUUGUCACUAGCUUUGUAAAACGUAAACCGUUUGGACUCUAAAAUGUGGACCUUUAAGUUAGCAGCGUCGUGAGUCAGCAGCAUUUACACCGAGGACUGGAGGAGAGGAAGACUUUGCUGGAGCACCAUGUUAAUUGGCAGCAGCUGCUUCUGUUUAUGAGGGUCGACUCAGCCACUGGACCUGCGUCGGGACUCAGACAACCACCUGUGCAUCUCACCUGCUGCUGCGUAACCUACCAGCUCGUGGACUCUUCUUAGCUGCAUGUAUUGUGGUCGCCUUCUCUGAAUAUAGCUGCAUGGGGCCUGUGGCCAAAAGAGAAAAAGAGUGUGACUGAUGGAAAGAACAAAUCAUCUUAUCUUUCCCAUCUCUUCCUGGAUGUGACAGUCUUAGUGUGAUGUCAAGCAGCCUGAGAGGAUGACUUUGGGGAGUUGUCACUUAGGAACCAUCGGAAUCAGAGUUUUGGUAAGAAACAAACACCAUGAACAGAACUGUACCUUUGACUGACUUUCU